CCUACGGGAGGCAGCAGUGGGGAAUAUUGGGCAAUGGAGGAAACUCUGGCCCAGCGACGCCGCGUGAGGGAUGAAGGCCUUCGGGUUGUAAACCUCUUUCAGUAGGGAAGAAGCGAAAGUGACGGUACCUACAGAAGAAGCACCGGCUAACUAUGUGCCAGCAGCCGCGGUAAUACAUAGGGUGCAAGCGUUGUCCGGAAUUAUUGGGCGUAAAGAGCUCGUAGGUGGUUCGAUACGUCGGAUGUGAAAAUCAGGGGCUCAACCCCUGACCUGCAUCCGAUACGGUCGAGCUAGAGUUUGGUAGGGGAGACUGGAAUUCCUGGUGUAGCGGUGGAAUGCGCAGAUAUCAGGAGGAACACCGAUGGCGAAGGCAGGUCUCUGGGCCAAUACUGACACUGAGGAGCGAAAGCGUGGGGAGCGAACAGGAUUAGAUACCCUGGUAGUCCCACGCCGUAACGGUAGGGCGCGUAGUUGUGCGACCGUACCUACGUUGUGCGACGCAGCUACGCAUAAGUCGCCCGCCGUCGGGAGGUACGANCGCGAAGAAUUAAAACGUUAAAACGGUAAAGUUAGUACGGCGUGAGACGUGCCGACGGACGACGACGAGGGAGGUAGG
rnacentral:rRNA from 1 species